rnacentral:lncRNA from 1 species
UUUGAAACUUUGAGAGGAGAAAUUGACAAAGCACGACAAGUACUUGAUUCCAUGGUUGACAAGGGACUUAAGCCUAAUAUUGUUACCUACAAUUGCUUAUUAAAUGGAUAUUGCAGAAAGGGGAGAAUAGACGAAGCUUGGCUUCAUUUUCUUGAAGUUCCUUGUCAAGGUCUGGAGCAUGAUACAUGUACUUAUAAUACCAUGAUUCAUGGACUGUUUAGUAAGCGUAGAUUUUCCGAGGGCUGGAAGCUUUUCAAGGAUAUGGAAGCUCGACGAGUAACUCCUAACAUAUAUACUUAUAGUACAUUGUUGGAUGGGCUGUGCAGGAAUGGAGAGACUGGUGAAGCUCUUUCUUUUCUGCAUACGAUUGAAGGGAAAGGAGUUGAUCUCGAUAGAGUUACAUAUGGGGCUAUCAUUAAUGGAUUAUGCAAAAAUGGGAAACUUGAUGUUGCCAGAGAUCUUUUCAACCAACUGCCUUCUAGAGGUGUGCUACCUAAUGCUCGAAUGUAUACAAUGAUCAUUGGUGCACUCUGUCAUGAAGAUUCUACGGAGGAGGCACAAUGUUUGCUUACAGAGAUGCAGAGCGGUGGUUGUGCACCUACCAGCGUGACAUACAACAUCAUGACGCGAAGUUUCCUAAAGAAGAAAGAGCUUAGCAAGGCAAUACCAUACUUGGAAGUAAUGCGCGAAAAGGAACUCUCAGCAGAUGUUUCUUCUCUUUCCAUGCUCAUUGAUCAAAUGCAAGGAAAAACUAAAGAUGAUGUUCUUCUCAAAUUGAUGAAGGAUGUUUUGCCAAAGGAUUUUGUAUUAUAGUCAUCUCGUCUUCUGAGAUGCAACCAACUCUGGCUUUGGAGCUGUAACUUUGUGUUCUUUUCAACUCAGGCUUUGUCUGAUCUCGUGUCUUUUUAUUUCUUCUCUUUUAUUUUUUCAUCUAAAGAUUUUUCUUGUGAUUUUUGGAAGGGUACUUGCUUGCGUUUAUUUAUGGAUGGUUUUUCAAUUCUCAUAUAUCUCAUGUUGUGUGCAAAUAUAUUCUCAUACAUUCUAAUAAUUCAAUUCAUAUGCGUAUGUUGCAGAAAUGGAUAUUUAUUUAUUUUCUUCUACUUUUGAUUUUCACCUAGAAAUAAAAGGUGGUUCUCUUAAUUAUCUGUCCUCUUUUAGCAAGAAGCACACAACCUUCUAGCUGAAGUGUCUCUUUCCUAGAUUAGCAACACAACUAAUAUAUACUUCCAUAUUUAAUGAAAAAAAAUGGCAAAGAAGAAGAUGAAAAGAAAAUUUACCAAACAUAUUACUCAUCUAAACCACAAUUUGAGCAGAAAACUUCUUAUUUUGCAAAAUCAAAAUUGCCUCACAAAACAUCCUGCAGUUUACAGUCUUGAAAAAGCUACACCAAAAACAUACUCAAAAAGAGAAUAACAAAGGCAAAGUUAUAAGUAGAGCUACUCGCUGUGAAGAUUUAGCAACACAACUAAUAGCAACAAACUGGUAUCUACACCCUCCUUUAUCUCCUAAACACAAUUCUCUCAACAAUACAAAAUAUAUUUUAAUAAAUAUAAUAAUUCACAUCAAUUACUCAAUAAAAUCUUGAAUUUAAAAAUAUAAAUAUUCAAUUUAUACAAAGUGUAAAUAUAAUUAAAGUUAUUAAAUAAAUUUAAAAAUUAUUCGAUAAUAAAAAUUUUCACUAUGCAUAUACUAUUCAUCAUAAUAAUAGUAUUUUUAUACAAACGUAAAUAAAAAGUUAUAAAUUUUUUUAAUGAAAAGAAAGAAAAUAAAAUAUUCUAAUAUUUUCAUAACUUAUUCAUUUUUUAUUAUUUUUAUACUAUAUUGAAUUUGAGAUACAUAUUGAUUAUUUUUUUCGUGAUCAAAUUUGACGACGUUUAAAUAAUAAUUACAAAUUUGUACCAAGUUAUUGUUAAAUUUGUUUGGAUUGGUCUAGAGAUGACACUUGUUCUACUUUAUUUAUAUAAAGCACUUACUUGAAGUUAUAAAAAUAUACAUACAUAUAUAUAAAAGUUCAUUAUGAUAUCACAAUUUUUUUUAUCAUAAAAAUCACAUGCAAUUAUAAAAUUAACAAAUAAUAAUAUGCCUUAUAACUACAAUAUAAAAUAUUACAAACUGAUCUACAACAAAAUUAUAAUACAAAUUUGAAUAAGAGCGAUGAAAAGAAUUGUUUAACUUAAUAUUACCAACAAAUUUCACUCAUACACGCCAUUGCAUAAUUUAAACUAUUAAAUUUAACUUAAAAAUGUAAGAAAACGUUUAUUUUGUUUACUAUCUUAAUAGUAUUUUUUUUUCUAGUAGCCCAAAUAAUAUGAGCCCAAACAUUAAUAUUCAAGCCCAAAAUUCUGAGCCUACCAAAGAACUUCAUCCGUUGCAAUUUCAACCCUUUUUUCAGAUUCAAUCACAACUCCUAAACUCGCAAGCGUCGCCCAACACUCACCCUUUCCUCACAUUAAAUCUCACCGCCGAUUAAGGAUGACGAGCAGAAGAGCUGCUGUUUCUGCAAUCGAUCUCAUUCAUAAUGGAAGAGGAUUUCUCAAUCAAUGGUCGCAUAAAUCGGGUAUUAUCUCUCCUCCAUUUUCUCUCUUCUCUUCCAAGGCUUUUCAACCUAAGCAGCCCAGAAUCGAUUUCAGCUGUGUUAAAGAAUUAAAUGAUGCUAUUGGAGUGUUUCAAAAAAUGAAGAGUAUGCAGCCGGAGCCUUCUGUUCUAAUGUACAACAAUCUUUUGAGUGUCACUGUAAAGAUUGAGCAGUAUUCUUUUGCCCUUUAUAUGUUUGAUGAAAUGCUUAGGAUGGGUGUCCCUGUUAAUGUUUACACGAUGACUAUUGCUGUGAAUUGUUGUUGUCUCUUGAAAGAUAUAAAAUCUGGCUUUGCUGUAAUGGGUAUAUUUUUCAAGAGAGGCUACGAACCAAAUAUCGCGACAUUCACCACUUUGAUUAAAGGGCUGUUUUUAGAUCAUAAGGUGGUCGAGGCUGGAAAAUUGUUCAAUAAGAUUUUGCGUUUCGGAAUAUGUGAGCCUAAUGAUGUUAUGAUUCUGACGAUGGUAGAUGGGCUUUGUAAAUCAGGAAAUGUCCUUCCAGCGAGAGAUUUAGUUCGUAGAUUAGAAAGAAGUAGGUUGAGACCUAAUGUCAAGGCUUAUAGUGCAUUACUCGACGGGCUACGCAAAUCUGGAAUGGUAGAUGAUGCUCUCCAGCUCCUAUCCGCGAUGAUCGAAAAGGGUAUUACACCCGAUGUUGUCACGUACAACUCGAUGAUUCAGGGGUUGUGCGACCUAGGGAGACUGGAGGAUGUUAAGGUUCUGGUGAAUGAAAUGUCUAAUUCUAAUAUUUCUGUCGAUGUUGUAACUUUUAGUAUAUUGAUUGAUGCAUACUGCAAGGAGAGAAAGAUGAAAGAGGUUGAAGAUUUGUUGGAAAUUAUGAGGCAACGUAACGUAUGCCCUACUGUUGUCACUUAUACUGCGCUAAUGGAGGGGUAUUGUUUGAGAGGAGAAAUUGACAAAGCAUGACAAGUACUUUUGACAAGGGACUUAAGCCUAAUAUUGUUACCUACAAUUGCUUAUUAAAUGGAUAUUGCCGAAAGGGGAGAAUAGACGAAGCUUGGCUUCAUUUUCUCGAAGUUCCUUUGAAAGGUCUGGAGCAUGAUACAUGUACUUAUAAUACCAUGA